UACAGAGGUCUCGAGCGUUAGGCGGAAUCACUGGGCUUAAAGCGUGUGUAGGCGGAUUGGUAAGUACUUUGUGAGAUCCCACGGCUUAACCGUGGAACUGCUUGGUAUACUGCCAGUCUUGAGCCAGCUAGGGGCUACCGGAACAAAUGGUGGAGCGGUGAAAUGCGUAGAUAUCAUUUGGAACGCCAAUGGUGAAAACAGGUAGCUGGGGCUGUGCUGACGCUGAGACACGAAAGCCAGGGGAGCAAACGGG
rnacentral:rRNA from 1 species